GACGAACGCUGGCGGCGUGCCUAAUACAUGCAAGUAGAACGCUGAAGAGAGGAGCUUGCUCUUCUUGGAUGAGUUGCGAACGGGUGAGUAACGCGUAGGUAACCUGCCUGGUAGCGGGGGAUAACUAUUGGAAACGAUAGCUAAUACCGCAUAAAAUGGAUUAUCGCAUGAUAAUCCAUUGAAAGGUGCAAAUGCAUCACUACCAGAUGGACCUGCGUUGUAUUAGCUAGUUGGUGGGGUAACGGCCCACCAAGGCGACGAUACAUAGCCGACCUGAGAGGGUGGUCGGCCACACUGGGACUGGGGCACGGCCCCGACUCCUACGGGAGGCAGCAGUAGGGGAUCUUCGGCAAUGGAGGGAAGUCUGACCGAGCCACGCCGCGUGAGGGAAGGAAGUUUUCGGAUCGUAAAGCUCCGUUGUAAGGGAAGAACGAGUGUGAGAGUGGAAAGUUCACACUGUGACGGUAUCUUACCAGAAAGGGACGGCUAACUACGUG
rnacentral:rRNA from 1 species